CAAUUGCUAAUAUGUACUUCAUCCGGAGAUAUUACAGCGAAACAACCUUGUAACAUUUGUGCUGCAGCAUGUUUACAAGCUGCAUGCACUUCAUCUGGAGAUAUUAUAGCAACUUCAUGUGCUGCGUGCACUUUAACCAAAAAUAUCAUAGUAGCAUGGUAGGCCAAUUUUCAAAAUGUCUAUGCAACAACUUAGAUUUGACCACCAAGAUGAUUCCUUACAAAAUUGCUUUAGUCAUCAAGCUGCCAAAUGAUUUUAUCGGCUCUCUAAGAGACCAGCUCGUGAAUAGAGAUGGUGUAUCUAAGAUCAUUAAGCAUCUCUUCCCAAUCGAAGAUAUCUUCUAAAGACAAGCCUCCAAGAGCUGCACCAGCUAGCUCCUCUACUCUGGCUCUUGAAGCCCCAUCAACAACACCAUCAAGGGUCAGAUUUUUUUUCCUUUUUAACUCCAAAAGUAAUUAGUAAGGUAACAUUUUUCUAAAGUUGGUUUGAGAGUUGAGAGCAUAAAGCAUAAAAUUUGGUUAUCUGAUUGUUUCUUUGAUUAAUGACUUCCAGCAUCCUAUUUAAAUUGCCAGCCAUAUAACUUAUUUCAUUGCUCUAAAAAUGUCAAAGGUACAGUUUUUUUUUUUAGUUUUUUUUCUUUAUUAGAAACCUAAACCACGAUUUUAACAGCAGAAGCAAUAUGUUGUGUCAAAGGUACUUUUUUUUAGGAAGAAGUUCUUAGCUUCUUCUUUAUUGCUCUAAAAAUGUAAUAUAUUUAUUAGUUUGAAUAGGUGAUAAAACAGUGAAUCUGUCUCGGGUGGCUCUGCUGCAUCUGUAUCAACCAGGCAAUGUGUUGUGUCACCUGGGAGUGAUACUUGUGGAAGCGUGAGGCAGACAUCAUUAUUUUGCGGCCUAGUUGGCUUGAAGCCUGAUUGCGCGUAGAAACUGUUUGAUAAAAUGCUUAAGAAAAGCUAGUGUCUAUUGGUGCCUGACUUUGUUCAGCUCAGAAACUUGACAUAUUAAGUUGGCAAUUUUUUAUAAGAAAAAUUUUUUAGGCUUUCA